UUCUCAUAGCAAUGCUUGCGAUG
rnacentral:siRNA from 1 species